AUCCAGCUGACGAGUAACAAAUAGGACGAAACACGUUUCCUGGAU
rfam:Schistosoma mattheei strain Denwood, Zambia genome assembly, scaffold: SMTD_scaffold0030771